rnacentral:sRNA from 1 species
GUAACACCGAGCGUGCCCAUAAUGCAAAC